AGCGCAGGUGGUUGUAUAAGUCUGAAGUAAAAGGCAGUGGCUCAACCAUUGUGUGCUUUGGAAACUGUACAACUUGAGUGCAGAGGGGGAGAGUGGAAUUCCAUGUGUAGCGGUGAAAUGCGUAGAUAUAUGGAGGAACACCGGUGGCGAAAGCGGCUCUCUGGUCUGUAACUGACACUGAGGCUCGAAAGCGUGGGAGCAAACA
rnacentral:rRNA from 1 species